rnacentral:rRNA from 1 species
ACUCCUACGGGAGGCAGCAGUGGGGAAUUUUCCGCAAUGGGCGAAAGCCUGACGGAGCAAUGCCGCGUGGAGGUGGAAGGCCUACGGGUCGUCAACUUCUUUUCUCGGAGAAGAAACAAUGACGGUAUCUGAGAAUA